rnacentral:rRNA from 1 species
AGCGAACGCUGGCGGCAGGCCUAACACAUGCAAGUCGAACGAACCUUUCGGGGUUAGUGGCGGACGGGUGAGUAACACGUGGGAACGUGCCUUUAGGUUCGGAAUAACUCAGGGAAACUUGUGCUAAUACCGAAUGUGCCCUUCGGGGGAAAGAUUAAUCGCCUUUAGAGCGGCCCGCGUCUGAUUAGCUAGUUGGUUGAGGUAAUGGCUCACCAAGGCGACGAUCAGUAGCUGGUCUGAGAGGAUGAUCAGCCACAUUGGGACUGAGACACGGCCCAAACUCCUACGGGAGGCAGCAGUGGGGAAUCUUGCGCAAUGGGCGAAAGCCUGACGCAGCCAUGCCGCGUGAAUGAUGAAGGUCUUAGGAUUGUAAAAUUCUUUCACCGGGGACGAUAAUGACGGUAACCGGAGAAGAAGCCCCGGCUAACUUCGUG